rnacentral:rRNA from 1 species
UACGUAGGUGGCAAGCGUUGUCCGGAUUUACUGGGUGUAAAGGGCGUGUAGGCGGGCUGUCAAGUCAGAUGUGAAAUCUAUGGGCUUAACCCAUAACGUGCAUUUGAAACUGAUAGUCUUGAGUGAUGGAGAGGCAGGCGGAAUUCCUAGUGUAGCGGUGAAAUGCGUAGAUAUUAGGAGGAACACCAGUGGCGAAGGCGGCCUGCUGGACAUUAACUGACGCUGAGGCGCGAAAGCGUGGGGAGCAAACAGGAUUA